CUCAUCUUUAUUCCCCAUCGGCCUUCUUGCUGAGGAAACCCUAGCCUCCGCCGCACCCCGCCGCCUCUCCACCCGCCGCCGCGCCGCGCCGCCCCCCCCCCCCACCCACCCACUCCACCCGACGCCGCACCGCACCGCACCGCCCCGCUCCCCCCUCUCACCCGCCGCAGCUUCCAUGGAUCUGCCGCAAAGAGCCAUGUUGGGUGGCUCUCUCUUGCCGCCCGACUGCCUGCUGGACCGCCGCGUCCGCACGGACUUUGACGACGAUGAUGAGAAUGAUCUGAUCGGCCUGCAGCCAUUCAAGAUACUCAGGUGCGUGGAGAAGACGGCGGUGGGGUUCACUCCUGAGAUGCAGGGCUAUGCCACUGAGGUAGUUCAGAGCUUACACCUUGGUCUGCAUCUCGCCAGCGGACCGCCAGGCCUAUCUUUUCUCGGCCUCCGAGGCGGCAGCCCAUUGACCAAGGUCGAAGCCGUUGAUCAAGGCAUCAUCGUCCUCACGACCACAUUUCUGCAUGACUUUAGCCGCAUUGUAUAUCUGGUUUAUGACGCCGACAACGGAUCACUGCACAUGGCCCCUGCGCCGGAAGACCCCUCAUGGCUAUUCACGGGUCUCACGGUUCGCCUUCUCAUUGUGCGCCCCAAUUAUGGUGACUACACGCUGGCCCUAUUGGGGAAGCUGGAUGGAGAGGGGGAUGCACUCUUGGUUUGGCAACCCAGCUCCUCGUCCGUGCCACCGUGGUCCAAGAUCAAGGCAGUUGGUGUUGAAUCACUCAUCGGCAAGAGCUCGUUGCAAGUUGACUGCACCUUUUCAGCCAGUGGCAUGAGCUGCUGGGCGGAUCUUCUGAGGGGCGUCACCUUCUGCAACCCCGGCCUCUUCACUACAGGGCUCCACAAUAAAGAAUACAUUCUCAAGUUUGGCUUCUUUCCCCUGCCCCAAGAGUUGGUUGAAAAGUCCAAGGAUCAUCGACGUAGCAACAGCCGAGUGGCACAGCCAAAAGCCUACCGCACCAUGGGCACCACCCUCCAAACUUGGUGGCGUAAAUUCCCCCCGUUCUACAAUGUCAGGUUUGUCUCCAUCGAUGGCUUCCUUGAGCCCAUCGAUCUCAAGGACCGCGCCGUAACCGUGUGGUGGCUGUGCCAAAAAGGGCUUGAGUGGAAGCUGGAGUACAAGAUCAGCCUCGAGGCUCUGUGGGAAUUCAAUGGAUUUGGCGAUCUGCCAAGGAAUUUAACUCCAAUGUACCCCCUCCUCAGUCCAAAUGAUCAUGAGAUUGUUUAUUUUGCACUUGGUGAAUGGCGUGAAAACCAGAGCAACUGGUUGUUCAUCCCGACAUGUGCGCGAUAUUUACUUGCCAUCAACCCACAGCACAAGACCGUAGUUGCCUCUGUGUGUCUUGCUGACUGUUUUGGAAAUCCUACCAUCCCUCCUGACAUUAUCAGCUCUGAUUUCCAGCGGCACAUCCAUACCGUGAGUCUGGAUCUUCACAUAAUGUUGAUGGAAACGAUGAAGCAGAUGUCAUUGACAUCGUUGGACCCUGCUGAAUAUGAUGAAGAGGAGGCUAAGAAGCUGAUGAAGGAGGAGCCAUGGACCUGGCAAGAAAAACUGAAGGAACAAGAUAGGCCUCUUCCUCUUCCUCUUCCAGCUUGGUACUACAGGCAGCCUUCUUUGCUUCGACUCAUAGGCAAUGCAGAUACCAUUCUGAAGCUAUCAGAUUGACACGCUGUCUCUGCUGGGUUACCAAAGACCUUCAGAAAAACAUUUAGCGAAACACCAAACCACCGGUUGCACACUUAAGGAGUUGCAUGGCUUGAAGAGAUGUGAAGAAUCACAAAGAGAGCCAUGUGUCACAGUGCUUGUAGAACAACUAAACGGGAUGUCGAUGGAAUUGCACAACUUAUUUUCUUCCCGUCAUUACCUUUGUUGGUAAGAAUAAUGUGUAAUAUAAUCUGUCAUGACUUGAUACUUCAGAGAUGAGCGACUGAGUAUGAAUUAUUGCACUUGGAAGUUGGCUUGAUACUUCACAAUGUUGCAAUGGAAGUCUUGUAGUACUGUUGAUGUUGUA